AAAAACCUCUGCACCGCCCCAUUAUAAACUCCCCACCAUCGCUACCUCUCUUCGUAAUUGGCAUCCACUUUCCGCCAUCGUCAUCAACUCCAUCACCACCGCCGAGUUCGAAGUCGGGGGAGCCGUCGGCUGGUAAAUUCUGGUCUCCAACGAGUUGCUUUGGUUCACCACAGUUGGUAAUGGAUGUAAGUGGUGGUAAUUGUGUGCUUUCAUAUGGACGACGGUGCAUCUGUAGCACGACGCUAGAUAUAGAAAAUUGUUGUUGGAGAAGGUGUAAUGACGCCGGUGGUCGCCCCUUUCUCAGACCGGAACUACCAUAGCUGGACACAACCAGGUGUGGGGAUGAAAAAACAUCGUAAAAGGGCUGACUGUUCUAUUCAGACUCAUCAUUCUGGACACCGCCACAAAUGAAAGCUCUCUUGCAUUCUGUCCCAUUUGAGAAAAUGAAAGCACUUGAUCUAUUUGCUGUUGUAAUACCUGUAUGGGAAUCAUCAUAUCAUCUCAAUUCUAUGGCACCCCUUAUGUGUGGUAACAUCAUUAUUCAAGUAUCAAUUACUAUUAACAUAUUUGUCGAUUGUUUAUAUAAUUACAUCCUAUUUUGCGAUUGUAUUUAAAAGAGGUGUAUGUUACACAAAU